rnacentral:rRNA from 1 species
GACGAACGCUGGCGGCGUGCUUAACACAUGCAAGUCGAACGGAAAGGCCCUGCUUUUGUGGGGUGCUCGAGUGGCGAACGGGUGAGUAACACGUGAGUAACCUGCCCUUGACUUUGGGAUAACUUCAGGAAACUGGGGCUAAUACCGGAUAGGAGCUCCUGCUGCAUGGUGGGGGUUGGAAAGUUUCGGCGGUUGGGGAUGGACUCGUGGCUUAUCAGCUUGUUGGUGGGGUAGUGGCUUACCAAGGCUUUGACGGGUAGCCGGCCUGAGAGGAUGACCGGCCUCAUGGGGACUGAGAUACGGCACAGACUCCUACGGGAGGCAGCAGUGGGGAAUAUUGCGCAAUGGGCGGAAGCGUGAUGCAGCAACGCCGCGUGCGGGAUGAAGGCGUUCGGGUUGUAAACCGCUUUCGCCUGGGACGAAGCGUGAGUGACAGUAAUGGGUAAAGAAGCACCGGCUGACUACGUG